AUAAGAAACUGGGGUUUUAAAAGCAAAAUAAAUGCUCAAAACAGAUCAAUGUUGACUUUCUCAGUAAAUACAUAGCUUUGAAGUGAUAUUAAAUGCUUUUUUCAUUUUGUUGUAUUCAUAUUGAUGUUUUCUCUCUAAAUACUGGUCAACUCUAGUCAACCUCAAGCAAUCGGGGCAAGGAUAAUCUCGACUGUAUAGCGACGUCAGAGAGUGAAUUUACUGUCACGGAAAACGUUUCUAAACACGUUUUUUUAAAGUGGUGCUUUGGCGGGAGAGGUGUGUGAAGGGAACAUAUAUACUUCCAACUUCUACGAAUACUCUGUCUACUGCGAUAAUGGCUGCUGUGGGUCCUACUAUUCCUUACAGUGUUGCCCUUCAUAUGUCGGUCUCAUUGUUGGAGCAGUGACUGGAGGUCUGUGUUUCAUCGGAGGUAUUGUGUUUCUAAUCUGCUUGUGUCACCAUUGUAACAAGAAAAAGACGUCAGUCGGAACGGUGAUUUCAAACCAGCCCGCAGGCGUAAACACAACAGUCGUAGGUACAACCCAACAAGGAGUGUAUUACCAACAAGGAGUAGCACAACAACCGGUUGCCUACCCACCACCAGGUCCUAACCAGACACCAAUGGCAGCCUACCCACCACCAGGUUCUAAUCAGACACCGAUGAUAGCUUUCCAAGCACCGCCACCAGCCUACCCAGCACCGCCACCAGCCUACCCAGCACCGCCACAAGCCUACCCAGCACCGCCACAAGCCUACCCUCCCCCGGCAGCGGGCCAGUCUAAUCCUUCCUCACUAGAUCAACAAUAUCCGGAAAAGCAUUAAAUACGCAAAACCAUAUACAUUUCUUUUGAACGUUUGAAAAUAUUUUUGUAUUGAUUAUUGAUUUAUGUUUUUGAAAAGAGUCCAUACUACAUCAAUAUUAGUUUACUUUCUGGUUCAAAUCAAAGUAUAUAUCUGUGAUAUUUAUUCUUAUAGUAUUUGCAAAUUUUACUAGAAAUUUGAACAUUCGCAAGUGUGCAUGUCUUUGUGUAUUGAUUGGAAAGUCUGUUUUAACUAAAGGUGUUUUUAUUCGUAUUUUUGUAAUAUGAAGUUAAAAAAAAUCUCUGACAAAAGCGAUGAGAUAAGAUGGAAUGUUUAAUCACAAAUUUUAUCAAGUACGUACCUUUCUUAAAGCCCAAUGAUUUGUAACCGUUUACAUACCUAUAUUUCUUUGAUACACAACGAAUUGUAUUCUAUGAUAAUCAAUUCAAGAAAUGGAGUAAUGGCCCUCAAGGGUUUCGUAAUACGAAAUCCUGUAGGGUCAUACCAUCCCGUAUACCCUGCCAAAAAUCCGUGUAACGAAUUUAUUACCCCUUUGUGUCUUUUAUA